rnacentral:rRNA from 1 species
AAUCUUCCACAAUGUACGGAAGUCUGUUGGAGCAACGUCGUGUGAGCGAAGAUGGUUUUCGGAUCGUAAAGCUCUGUUGUAAGGGAAGAACACGUACCGGACUCACUGCUCGUACCUUGACGGUACCUUAUCAGUAAGCCACGGCUAACUACCUGCCAGCAGCCGCGGUAAUACGUAGGUGGCAAGCGUUGUCCGGAAUUAUUGGGCGUAAAGCGCGCGCAGGCGGUCCUUUAAGUCUGAUGUGAAAGCCCACGGCUCAACCGUGGAGGGUCAUUGGAAACUGGAGGACUUGAGUACAGAAGAGGAAAGCGGAAUUCCACGUGUAGCGGUGAAAUGCGUAGAGAUGUGGAGGAACACCAGUGGCGAAGGCGGCUUUCUGGUCUGUAACUGACGCUGAGGCGCGAAAGCGUGGGGAGCAAACA